ACUCACAUACAUAAUCAAUCAAUUGGUCAUAUAUAAUUAUAGUGAUAGAAUUAUUUUAUUGUUCUUGAUUACAUAGAAAUUUAUUAUAAUUUGGAAUGAAACCAUCAGACUCUAUUUAUAUGUGCAAAGUAAAGUAGAAAAGCAAAAGUUCAGAUAAUUAAAUCUAAGUUCCGAAAAAAGUUGCUUCCAUUCUCUUUAAAUAUUUUUAACAAACUCAGGAGGAAAAUGGAUUUAGAAGAAAUUAUGUGGACUAGUUUAUUUGAAUUACUUAGAUAAUUGCCCUAAACUAUGUAUAAUUCAAGCUUAACCUCAAUUCACUCUAGUUUGAUAACAAAGAGCAACCUCAAAAAUAAAAGCCAAGAUUUCAAUAAAAACAUAAUCUCUUAUUGAAGAAUUCUCCUUUCAAAAAUAAGCAUUUAGAAAGAAGUUAAUUUUUCUCUACUUUUGCUUUAUUAAUCUAUCUCAUGAAAGAAAUCCAUCUCUCUUGUAUAAGAACUAUAAAUCAUAUCAAUGGUAUAUCAGUUCUUUUCAGUUCAUUUUUCUUAGCAGCUACAUCAGAAACUUUAUCAUUUAAAUUUUAAUUCCUAAAUGGACACUAUUGAAAUAUUCAGGGAUUUAGUCUUAAAUCCUUAAACCCAGAGGGAGCUCGGGAAUGUUGCUAAAGUAGAAAGCUGCACAAAAUCUCAACUCUCAUUUGCAAAUUUUCUUUCCAUCUAAUUUAACUUUGAAGCUUUUAGCCUCAGAGACUUUACAAUAUGACAUCAACAAAACACUUCAAUCAAAAUCAAGUAACCUUAGCAUUACACAGUUCUCUAGAUUAUUAAAAAGGUAAAAAGAGGCAUUAGCUCUCUCUUCAUAUUUCUUUUUAUUUUCUCUUGAUGCAAGACAGAAGACAUAUAUCAAAAGAAAUUGCCCUGAAAUAUCAUUAUCCCCAAACGCCGGUUUUCAUUCUAGGACACUUGCUUAUAAACUAAGCCUUUUCCUGACAUAAACAGUCACUUGCUGCAGUGCAGAAUGUCAGUUUAGUCAGUUAGAACUUUCAAUGCAGAAAUUCAGUGCCAUGCAGUCACGCAGAUCGAGAGCAGCACUUACCUUAAUUGAAAUAUUCUCUGUGAACGAGCAUAUUCAAGGUCUUUCUUCCGAAUAUGGGCAAACAAGACACUGAGUAGAAAGAAUAUGCCACUUAGACCUGAAACCACUUUACUACCCUGACUGUGGACAUCAAUGAACAGCUCUAAAACUUGAAGUGUAAGAAGACUCUUAACUUACGUUAAAACAAGCCUGAAUGAGCUUGAAAGCUGACUCUUCCUGGGAGCCUCCAGAUAAGAGGCCAGCCUGGUUGAAACCUUGACUUCCACAUUGGGACACCCCAGUCAAAGACCCAGAUGAGCCUGCCUAGACUUCUGGAAUACAGAAAUAAAGCUUUGUUUGAUUUAACUUACAUUUCAAGCUCACGUCUGAAAUAUGUGCCCGUGUAGUGGUCUUUCCUUCUGCAUCUGCAGCUUAUCCUGCACUCCAGAUACUCUGUGUUUAGUCUGUCAGCGGAGUCAAGAACGUCAACGUCUUAACACCAGGUCUUCAAGGGCAAUAACAUGCAUGGAGCUGUCAUCUCCUAUGAAAACAACGCCUUCUUCUGGAAUACCUCCUAAGGACCUGCCUGAAGCUUUUCUUGAAGAGAUAUGCUUCCAAAAGUAAAGACACAGUCAAAGAGAAGUGAGUUUGUAUCAUGAUUGGAUCCAGGAAUUAAAGAUUUUGGAAAGAAAAAGGUCGGGUGGACACUCUAUUUCAAGAUAUAUCCUACUUAAAUCAUUCAGAGUCUGUAGGCAACCGUUUUCAAACCACACUAAUGCUUUUAUGUAAAGUAACAACAGAAAAAAUAGAAAGGAAAGAAAUGAAAAGAGUACGAGAAAAAGAAAGACAAAGGAUUCCAUUGCAACAUGAAUACUGCCAUUCUGGAAAAUUCAGGAGAAGCCAUUCAUAUAGAAAAGCUAUUUUAAAGAAUGCAAGGUCAGGAGUCUACUAUUAAAUACAAGUCAAGCACUAUAAUAUAUGCUAAAAGUCAAAGAAAAUCUCAUCACCCUAAUAACAUCCUGGCCUUUUUGUAAUUCCAUUCCACUUGGGGAGUAUAUGCAUCCAUGUUUUUAUCAGAUGUAAUGAUGCAAUUUUUAUUUUGAUCUUAUUACAUCUUAUUUUAAAACUUUAUAGUGUUUAUAUAGCCAUAAUAAUGAUAAAAAUCAUAAUCAUAAUAAUAGCUAAAACUUUCAUAGCUCUGACUAUGUGCUUAAAGUAUCCUUAUUUCAUCUUCACAACAAUUUCCCAGUUAAGUAUUAUUAUUAACUCUACUUUAUACACAAGAGGGAACUUUAAAUUAGUGAGUUUAAGUAACUGGCUCAAGUUCUCAUGAUUAUGAGAUAGUAAAGCUAGGAUUCAAAGGCAGGCAACAUAUCUAUAUUAUGUGUUCUUCACCAAUGUGUUAGAUAUUUCUCAUUUAAUAUGUCAAAAAAAUUGCUAGUUUUUUUUUAAAAACCUAUUUCUCUACUGUUUGAAAGAAUGGUUAUUUCCUGUCAUUCCUUUUAAGAAACCACAUCACUUUGAACAUCUCACAUACGGGUCUACUAGUUUUCUAUCGUUUCCUAGGGACUGAUGAUUGGAAAUGAUAUUCCUGAAACAAAGAUGUAUGCACCUACUUUACAUAUAUUUUGAUCGUGUUCUAUUUACUGAAUAUAACUAUUAACCUAUAUCCUUGUCAACCUAAAAUUAGCUAUGUGUGUAUGUACACACAGGCACAAAUACACACAUGCAUUUCUAGUUGAACAGCUAGGAAAUGGGAUCUUAUUUAUUUUUUAGCCAUUUGUGAAGUCGAACAUUUUUAAAUGUUUAAAUAAAUUUAUUUCCUCACUUUGCUCAUAAUCUCUCUCCAUACUCUUUCAUUACUUCUAUAUUAUGUUAUGUAAAUUAAUUUGCAUUUGCAGUAAAAUUUACUAGGUUUAGUGACAGCUUAAUUCUAUUCAUAAACAGAGAAGUCAGGCAUAGAGGUAUGAAAAUGUUCAGUACAUACAAGACAGAGUCAGAAAUUUAAUUUGGCUUGGUCUAAAUCAACUAAGGUGUGGGGGUAUUUGUCAGGGGCCGUUGGUAGGAGAUAUGACUGGGAACGGUUAUGACAGCAAGGUCACAGUCUUCACAUGCCAGCAGUUUUGAAACUUUGAGUAGUUUGAUAAUGAAUUACAUCUUCCUGAGCCAAUUAGAGAUAUGACCACAGCUCAGAUCUUGAAUGGUGAAGCCGUCUGCACUGGGGAAGAGAACUGGUUCUGGAUGAGAAUCUAAAUGAGAUGGACUUGUCCUCUGCUCCAUGGGUUCAGGGAUCACAACUAAGGGUUCAUGAAUUUGGGUGGAAACUGUUUACAUCUUUGUUCUCAUUAUUCUCUAACAGAAAUUUAGUGUUUCCUUCAAGUAAGUAUUUAGGCAGCAAACCACAGCAGUGGUGUCAAUGUCUGUGAUUUUAUUGCUGAAACAAUCUUAGUUAUUUUCAUUUCACCUACAGUUGUUGCAAAUAUCACAAAAUGUUUUUUAUACUUACUUGUAGUAAUUAUUAGGUCCACUACUAGGGUUUUUUUUUAAUAUAUUAACAAUUACAUGCAUAUAUUACUAUGUCACCUAAUGUAAAUAUUGAUAAAUAUAUUUCAGAUAAAUCUGGGUUUUUUUAAUCCAAGUUUUUCAUUUGAUAAAUUUAGAAACACUAUUCUGAGAAGGGGUCAGACCCCUGAAGGCUAAGAGCCCCUGAGGGAGUGUGUGAUUUAAAUGAUGUUCAGACAAUGAGGGUCUGCCCAGGACGGAAGUAUCUAAAAGGUCACACAGCAUAAAGCGGGCACAAGGGCUAAUUCUCUCUCUCACUUUAUAUCUAGUCAGUUCAGUGAGGUUAGAGUGGGCAUUUGGGGUCUUAAUUCAUCUCAAAAAGACUAGAUCCAAUCUUAUUUCAUACCUAGCUCCCGAAAGUCCAGGACUGUGUUUUACAGGAAUUUAUUUAUAGAAAGAAAAUGAUCACAGAUAAUAUUAUGGGUACCGUCAAUGCCCUCUGAGGUAUGUGAUGGUAGAUUUUGAUUAAACUUGAUAGCAAUUUGACUAUGAGAUCAUGUUUCACUUACUUGGUUGCAAUAUAAGAUUUUGCUUUCUCAAUAUAAGAAAGAAAUUUCUUCUUCCUUAACCAUAACUUUUUCUGGUAUUGCACGUGUAAGGCAAGAAGUGUGAGCUGGCAUGGGCCCUGCUGGGAAUCCAAUCUGCGUCUGCAAUGUGUUAUAGGCCUGUCACCCCAAAUUGUUUAUGGCGAGACAUUCGUAGACUUAUAGACAUUUGUCAAGGUCAUGCUGCUGUAAAUGACCCUCAGUUUGGAAACUGAGAACAAUCUUUUCACAAUAACUUUUCUCCGAAUAGUUUCUGUUAGCUUCAAGUUUUCUUAGCUACCUGAGAAGCUAGCCACCAAACUUCAAGGACAACAAAUUAAAUCAGACAAGAGCUCUGGCCAGAGAACAGCAGAUGUAUGUGACUCGGUCUCUGACAAAAUGCUACAUACAAAAUAUGAGUGGGGUAUCUGUUAUGUAUAACAUCUAUCGACAGAAGGUUAGAAUGCUUAGGAGAAAUGAGGAAAAGGAAAUUGGAAAUAGGAGAAAUAUGGGCUACUUUUUAAAGCAGAAAUUAUAAUGACUGAUUGUAAUGCAAACUCUUUUUUCUCGCCAAUUAGUGUUAAGAAAUCAGGACCUCUGGAAAAUCUGAAAUAAUCAGUUGUGAUGCAAUUUUGGUAUAUUUUAACAAUCUAGUUAUAAUUUCUUCAACUUCUAGAAUACUUAACUAUUAGGCUUGUUAUAAUUACAAUUCAACUCUCUCUUUAAAGAACAAAGUUCUUUUUCUCUCACAUUUAGUUUUCUUAUUUAGGAAUAGAAUUGAUAGUGAGAAUAUUUAGCCUCUUUUAUCUGGGUAUAUUAUUUUGACAAUAAUCAAUUAAUUCAUUGAAAUCUACUCAUUUUAAAGGAUACUAGUUGAAGAUGAGAAGACAUGGUUUCUGUCUUCCAGGAACUCUCAAUCAAUUGGAAAGACUGCUGUGAAAACAACUUUAUAAUACAAAUUGGGAAAAAUGUACCAAAAUAGAAACUAACUCAAUUGGUGUCCCCCUGACUCUGGACAAUAACAGCCUCCACUCAAAAGGAGUGUUUCCUACUCUCAAGGAGCUCUAAGAUAGGAUAGAAGGAUUUAAAUAUUUUGUUGCCCCUUGCAAAGUUAUCAGGCCCCAGGCCCUGUGCCUGCAACACCCAGUGGAUGGGCAUGCCGCUGAGAACACUGAGGGAUGAUGUACUCAUGCAGUGGCCUUUAGGCCAGACAGAGAGAUUUCUGAGAUUCCACGGAGUUGCUGAUGGAGGCAAGGGUAGCCCACAGCAGGGAACUUGCAUGGACAAAGUCUUGUGGAUGGCAGAUACUGUUGGCAGAGGAAUGUGUAGUUCAGCGAGAUUGCCAAGCUAUGGAGUCUCCAGGCAACUGAGAACGUUGUUGAAAAUUUCAAAGCAAGGAUAGCUACUAUCCGAAAAUUGAGUCACCUACUAAUUUCCAGCUACAAUAUUUGUUAAUUAUAAGAUUAAGAACGGUCCAUGUACAUCUUUUUAAAAUUAAUGUAAUCAUAAAGAGUGAUUCAUCUGUAAAAUAUUCUCAUAGUUGGCAUAUCUAUGGGGAAUUAAUAUUUCCCAAAUAUGGUCCAGCCUUCCUUUUAUUAUAAGUUACAAUUCACUUUAGGCUUUAAAACCACUUAAGAAAAUAGUGGAGUCAGAUUGUUUCUUUCUAAGAUUAUUUUCCACUUAAUAAGUCACAUGAUGUUAGUUAUUAAAAAAUGAAUCAUUCUUAAUUAGAUUAGUCCCUUUCUUCUUCCUUCCUUCUUUCACGCCUUCUACAAACAUUUAUUUCAUUUACACAAUACAUAUAUCCAAUAUUGUGCUAUGAGGGCUGUGGAAACAAUGAUAAAUAAUAAACAGUUUGUUCUAUCAAGACAUCUUCUAAUAGUGGGGAGAGACAGGUUAAAAUAAUUAACAGUGUUUCAGAAACAGUUACAAAUGACAAUACGUAAUCACUAGGUAUAUGACAACACAUACUAGGUAUGACAUACUAGGUAUGACAAUACGUACUAGGUAUAGCAAGACCUAGUGAUUAUUUGGAUGGACAAUUGUUUUUGUCUGGGAGAGGGUAUUGUUCUGGGAAGAUCUGACAGAUUCAACUAUACAUGACAGGAUGCUAGAAACAGUGUCAUCCAUUUACCAUAGAAUUAAAUUCACUUCAAUAUGACCAAGCCUAAUAUAAUUUUCUUACAUGUCACUACUAUAUACACCCAUUUUUAGAGUGGAGAAGUAUGUAAAAGUCCUUGUGACUUAACUUUUCUCUGCACAUUUAAGGUAUACAUCCAUUUUUUUUUAGAAAUAAAUGAACAUUUGGAUUGCAGAAUACAAUUUAAUCUGUACAUAGAAUGUAUUUUAUAUAGUCUACUGAUCAAUGGAUAUUUCUAAAAGAAAAGCACUUAUAAGUGACUUCGAUAAAAGUAAAACCUUCUUUUACAUACUGAAUUGUUUCAACUCACUACGUUUCCAUUUAUUCUGGGGGGAAAAAAAGGAUUUCAUUAUCUGAAAGAGCCACUACAUUUUUUCUUUUGUCAAACAUAAUUUGGAGUUCUGUGAAUCAUAUUUUAGACCGCCUGUGAUACAUGCAGAUUAAACCACAUCUAUCAUUGUUACGCAUUUUUCUUUCAAAGCUACAAAAUUUUAAAAAGCCUCACAAUUAUGUACGUUUCUGCACUUUCUCAACAAAAACUGAGACACUUGGAGUUAGGAAGUUUUAGUCACCUUAGCUCCCUCACCACCACCUCUUCUGUUGUCUGCAAAACUACUUUGUUUUGUGGCAUAUCUUAUCACUGCUAAUGCAUGAUUAUCGUGUUUGUGUUUAUAGAGAAAGGAAGGAGAGAUUGGAAAAGCAAUAAAGGUGAAAAUCCAUUAUUCUUGGAGAAACUAGUUGAAUAAUUUUAUUCCAUUGAUUGACUGGCUAUACGUAAUCUGUCUUAAUUCUUCAGUACUCUGAACUCUAUACUGAGUGUUGGUCAAUAGGCCAUGACUUCUGGAAUCUGACAAAACUAGGUGAAAACUGAAAAAUUAGUGCAUUGCUUAUUUGAUCUAUAUGAUUAUGAAAUUGGAUUGCUAUGUUCCAGACUGAUAAAGACAGCCUUAUUUCAAAUCCUUAUUGCCAUUGAAUAACAUCUCAUUUCAGACGCUGUAUGCUGCCCACCAAGCAGUCAUCCUUUUUUUUCUUUUUCCCCUGAGGGACCUCAGCUAUGUUCAAAAGGUAUUUACUUCUAGAAGGUCCACCUAUUGAUUCAGGGUAGAAUGUUUUUGUAUCACUCUCAGGAAAAUUCUGAUUGAUAUUGACUAAUAUUAGUGAUCCCUCUUUAUAGCUCUCACCAACAAAUGACAGAGAGACAGAUGGCGUCCUUCAUAUAAGGUUCUCUUUCUCUUUAAAAGAAAGCAGCAAGAAGAGAGGCCUUUUAUUGUGUGUUUGUUGCCAGUUCCACCUCAAUGAGGGUAUCAAAAUACAGAGGAAGAUAAGACCAAGAAAAACAUAGAAAACAGAAUUGGAGCCUAGAUGUGGACUUCCCAAGUCUUUACAUUGGAAAAAAUAACAUUCUGUGCUUUUAAAUUGCAUUUUCUGUUUCCUGCAGUUUUAAACUUUCCAACUGUUACACAUAAACUUUGUGCUUAUAUAAGAUCAAUGUGGCAUUUCCAGGAGCAUCUAAGAAAGUAGAAUGAUCUUCAGCCACAACUUGGGAACAAUUAACAUACAUGUGGUAGGUAGGAAACGGGGAGUGUGUAAGGGAUAUGGGGAGACAUGAGGGAAAGUCUGUUAGAAGCGUCAACAUUGCCUUAAACCCACUAAUGGUCAUGCAGAAUGAGUCCAGUUAUUGCUUUGAAUAGAAAUUUCAAAGCAAUCUCUUUCUCUCUCGUUCCUUCUCUCUCUUUCACACAUACACACACAGGAAUUUGCAUAUAGAUAUG